UACGGAGGGGGCGAGCGUUAUUCGGAAUUAUUGGGCGUAAAGGGCGCGUAGGCGGCCCGGUAAGUCAAAGGUGAAAUCCCUCGGCUCAACUGAGGAACUGCCUUUGAAACUGUCGGGCUUGAGGCCGGGAGGGGGUAGCGGAAUUCCCAGUGUAGCGGUGAAAUUCGUAGAUAUCGGGAGGAACACCAGUGGCGAAGGCGGCGAUCUGGGAAGAUACUGACGCUGAGGUGCGAAAGCGUGGGGAGCAAACAGG
rnacentral:rRNA from 1 species